GACGAACGCUGGCGGCGUGCCUAAUACAUGCAAGUUGAGCGCUGAAGGUUGGUACUUGUACCAACUGGAUGAGCAGCGCACGGGUGAGUAACGCGUGGGGAAUCUGCCUUUGAGCGGGGGACAACAUUUGGAAACGAAUGCUAAUACCGCAUAAAAACUUUAAACACAAGUUUUAAGUUUGAAAGAGGCAAUUGCAUCACUCAAAGAUGAUCCCGCGUUGUAUUGGCUAGUUGGUGAGGAAAAGGCUCACCAAGGCGGUGAUACAUAGCCGACCGGAGAGGGUGGUCGGCCGCCUUGGGACUGAGACCGGGCCCAAACGCCUACGGGCGGCAGCAGUAGGGCAACGUCGGCAAUGGGCGAAAGUCUGACCGAGCUACGCCGCGUGAGUGAAGAAGGUUUUCGGAUCGUAAAACUCUGUUGGUAGAGAAGAACGUUGGUGAGAGUGGAAAGCUCAUCAAGUGACGGUAACUACACAGAAAGGGACGGCUAACUACGUG
rnacentral:rRNA from 1 species